GAUGAAGAACGUAGCGAAAUGCGAUAGGUAAUGUGAAUUGCAGAAUUCAGUGAAUCAUCGAAUCUUUGAACGCACCUUGCGCCCUUUGGCUAUUCCGAAGGGCAUGCCUGUUUGAGUAUCGUGAACACCUCAACUCUCAUGGUUUGCCAUGAUGAGCUUGGACUUGGGGGUUUUGCUGGCCUUCGGUCGGCUCCUCUCAAACGGAUCAGCUUUCCAGUGUUUGGUGGCGUCACGGGUGUGAUAACUAUCUACGCCUGUGGUUUUCUGCCAGAUAACCUUCAGCGAUGGAGGUUCGCUGGGGCUCAUAAAUGUCUCUCUUCAGUGGAGACAGCUUUUUGGACGUUUGAUCUCAAAUCAGGUAGGACUACCCGCUGAACUUAAGCAUAUCAAUAAGCGGAGG
rnacentral:misc_RNA from 1 species